rnacentral:rRNA from 1 species
AGAGUUUGAUCCUGGCUCAGGAUGAACGCUAGCUACAGGCUUAACACAUGCAAGUCGAGGGGAAACGAUAUUGGAAGCUUGCUUCCGAUAGGCGUCGACCGGCGCACGGGUGAGUAACGCGUAUCCAACCUGCCCAUCACUUGGGGAUAACCUUGCGAAAGUAAGACUAAUACCCAAUGAGGUCUCUAGAAGACAUCUGAAAGAGAUUAAAGAUUUAUCGGUGAUGGAUGGGGAUGCGUCUGAUUAGCUUGUUGGCGGGGUAACGGCCCACCAAGGCGACGAUCAGUAGGGGUUCUGAGAGGAAGGUCCCCCACAUUGGAACUGAGACACGGUCCAAACUCCUACGGGAGGCAGCAGUGAGGAAUAUUGGUCAAUGGGCGAGAGCCUGAACCAGCCAAGUAGCGUGCAGGAUGACGGCCCUAUGGGUUGUAAACUGCUUUUAUAAGGGAAUAAAGUGGGAGUCGUGACUCCUUUUGCAUGUACCUUAUGAAUAAGGACCGGCUAAUUCCGUGCCAGCAGCCGCGGUAAUACGGAAGGUCCGGGCGUUAUCCGGAUUUAUUGGGUUUAAAGGGAGCGUAGGCCGGAGAUUAAGCGUGUUGUGAAAUGUAGACGCUCAACGUCUGCACUGCAGCGCGAACUGGUUUCCUUGAGUACGCACAAAGUGGGCGGAAUUCGUGGUGUAGCGGUGAAAUGCUUAGAUAUCACGAAGAACUCCGAUUGCGAAGGCAGCUCACUGGAGCGCAACUGACGCUGAAGCUCGAAAGUGCGGGUAUCGAACAGGAUUAGAUACCCUGGUAGUCCGCACGGUAAACGAUGGAUGCCCGCUGUUGGUCUGAAUAGGUCAG